rnacentral:rRNA from 1 species
GUACACUCCUACGGGAGGCAGCAGUGGGGAAUUUUGGACAAUGGGCGAAAGCCUGAUCCAGCCAUGCCGCGUGCAGGAUGAAGGCCUUCGGGUUGUAAACUGCUUUUGUACGGAACGAAACGGCCUUUUCUAAUAAAGAGGGCUAAUGACGGUACCGUAAGAAUAAGCACCGGCUAACUACGUGCCAGCAGCCGCGGUAAUACGUAGGGUGCAAGCGUUAAUCGGAAUUACUGGGCGUAAAGCGUGCGCAGGCGGUUAUGUAAGACAGUUGUGAAAUCCCCGGGCUCAACCUGGGAACUGCAUCUGUGACUGCAUAGCUAGAGUACGGUAGAGGGGGAUGGAAUUCCGCGUGUAGCAGUGAAAUGCGUAGAUAUGCGGAGGAACACCGAUGGCGAAGGCAAUCCCCUGGACCUGUACUGACGCUCAUGCACGAAAGCGUGGGGAGCAAACAGGAUUAGAUACCCUGGUAGUCCCA